rnacentral:rRNA from 1 species
GAUUAUGGCUCAGAACGAACGCUGGCGGCAGGUCUUAGGCAUGCAAGUCGAACGGAUGACAGAGAGCUUGCUCUCUGAAGUCAGUGGCGCACGAGUGAGUAACGCGUGGGAAACUGCCCUUCACUGGGGAAUAACGUUUGGAAACGAACGCUAAUACCGCAUACGCCCGCAAGGGGAAAGAUUUAUCGGUGAUGGAUGUGCCCGCGUUGGAUUAGCUAGUUGGUGGGGUAAUAGCCUACCAAGGCGAUGAUCCAUAGCUGGUCUGAGAGGACGAUCAGCCACGCUGGAACUGAGACACGGUCCAGACUCCUACGGGAGGCAGCAGCUAAGAAUAUUGGGCAAUGGAGGAAACUCUGACCCAAGCCAUGCCGCGUGAAUGAAGAAGGCCUUCGGGUUGUAAAGUUCUUUUAGUCAUGAAGAUGAUGACAGUAGUGACAGAAAAAGCACCGGCUAACUUCGUGCCAGCCGCCGC